rnacentral:misc_RNA from 1 species
AUCUCAAUUUCAGGUUGAUCCAGAUUAAACAUGAUGGCCCAAUGGACCAAGCUCCAGUACUCUACUUGUUCUCUGAAUCCUAGCAACUCUUAAUUAACUAUCAGCAUUUCAAUAUUGCAUGAUUUUAUCACUUUCAGGUAGGACAAUUGGGUACCCACUAGGGCAGAAGCAAAGGAUUUCCAUAGCAAGGGCACUGCUAAGGAACCCAAGAAUCCUGCUGCUUGAUGAAGCUACAAGUGCACUGGACUUGCAAUCCGAAAAAGUUGUUCAGGAUGCCUCGAACCAAGCCUCCAUAGGACGAACAACCAUAAUAAUUGCACAUCGCUUAUCUGCUCUGCGCAAUGUCGAUUUGAUUGCAGUUAUUCAAUCUGGAACAGUUGUAGAAUCAGGCUCUCAUGACUAACUUUUGCAAAACUCAAAUGGCGCAUACUCAAUAAUGGUGCAACUGCAGAGUACUUAUAGGAAUGGUAAGGUUGGUCGAGAUGUAGAAUGUAGCAGCAGCUCUGCUAAAAAGGGAGUCACCAGCACAGAAGAAAUAACAUACACAUUUCUAGCACAAAGUAUUAGUCAUCACAGGCAAAUUAAUCAGCAGAAAGACGAUGGUUAUAGCUCCCCAUCUUUGAAGCAAUAGCUAUGGCAGCACCUGAGUGGAAGUCGACUUUGAUCGGUUGCAUAGCAGCUUGUGACUAUGGAUUGAUUCAGCCACUGCAUUCAUUCUGCUUGGGUGCACUCCUAGCUGUUUACUUUGCUAGCAAUCCUGCUGAGGUAAAAUCUCAAACCAGAAUGUACUGCAUUGUAUUUUUAGCCUUUGCUGUCUUUGUUUUUCUCUCCAAUGUAAUUCAACACUACCAUUUUGGGAUUGUGGGAGAGAGCUUAACAAGAAGGGUCAGGGAGACACUCUUCAGAAAAAUCUUGACAUUUGAGGCUGAGUGGUUUCAUUAAGAAGACAACAGCAGUGGAGCCUUAUGAUCAAGACUGGCCACAAAUGCAACCAUGGUUAGAACUCUUGUCACCGAUCAUUUAUCAUUGCUAGCUCAGGCAGUUUCGGGAGCGGUUUUGGCAGUUGUUUUGGGUAUGACGUUAUCACGGCGACUUGGGCGUGUAGCUAUUUCUUUGCAACCAUAUAUCAAUGGUGCCUUCUAUAUGAAAGCAAUUACAAUGUGAACCAUGUCUAAGAAAAUACAGAAACCACAGAACAAGAGCAGUCAAUUAGCAAGUGAAGCAGUUGCGAACCACAGAAUUGUUACAGCAUUCUACUCCCAGAAAAAAGUUCUGAAAUUGUUUGAGCUUGCACAGAUUAGCUCCAAGAAAGGAAGCCAAAAGCAAUUUGGCAUGCAGGAUUCGGAUUGUUUAUCGCACAGUUCCUUAGUGCUGCAAAUGCUGCUCUAAUGUUCUGGUAUUGUGGGAGACUACUAUUCCAUCAAAAGAUCACCUACAAGCACCUCUUUCAAACGUUUUUCAUCCUGGUGUCCACAAGAAGGAUUAUAGCAGAGCCAGGAAGCAUGACAGCAGAUCUAUCAAAAGGCACCAGUGCAUUGAAGUCGGUUUUUAGGAUUCUGAAAAGAGAGAGCAAAAUGAACUCUUAUUGUGCAGAUGGAAUCAAUCCAGAAAAGAUAAGUGGAGAUAUAGAGUUUAAGGAGGUUCAUUUCUUCUACCCAACAAGAGCAGAACAAAUGAUUUUGAAGGGAUUAAACCUGAAAAUUGAUGCUGGAAAUGUUGUUGCUGUAGUUGGCCAAAGUGGGUCUGGAAAAUCAACCAUUAUCAGAUUGAUUGAGAGAUUCUUUGACACAUCAAAUGGUUUAGUGGAAAUCGAUGGAAUUGACAUCAAAUGCUAUAAUCUAAGGACUUUGAGGUCACACAUGGCGUUGGUAAUGGUAAGUCGAGCCUACUCUUUUUGCUGGAACUAUCCACGACAACAUUGCAUAUGCAAAAGAAAAUGCUACAGAAGCAGAAAUAAUUGAAGCAGCAGCCAUUGCGAAUGCCCAUGAUUUUAUAAGAUGCUAUUUCCUUCUUUGCUUUUUGUAGAUUGUCAGCUUUCAGACUGAAAUAUUGUAUAAGUUCCUGUGUUGAUAAGCAGCUCCCUGAAGGAUGAAUAUGCAACCUACUGUGGAGAAAGAGGUGUGCAACUUUCAGGAGGACAAAAGCAAAGAAUAGCACUUGCUCGAGCCAUCUUGAAAAAUCCUGCAAUAUUGCUCUUGGACGAGGCAACAAGUGCACUGGACAUUAACUCAGAGAAACUCGUUCAGGAUGCACUGGAGAUAACAAUGGUUGGUAGGACGUGUGUGGUUGUGGCACACCAAUUUUCUACCAUUCAGAAAGCAGAUAAAAUAUCGGUGAUCGACAAAGGAAGGAUUUUAGAAGAAGGGACUCAUGCUGAGCUACUGGCUAAAGGAGAAAACAGUGCAUGCAAUGCACUCAUUAAACACCAACAACUUUCUGCUAUGAGAUGAAGAGUUUCAAUGUCAUGGAGCAACUGUUACCUAAUGAAUCAAAUCAUAAGCCAGAGGAUAAUUGGCUUAUCUAUGUUUGAAGAAAGUGUACCGUUAGAGAACGCUACAAGAAAGCUUUUUAGGAGGGAAAAGAUGGUCAUUAAAUGUCCAUAAAUUGUAAUUAAAAAUCUUUUGUUAUAAGCAUCCUUGAGGCUUAACGAGGCUAACACUUGAAUCCUUACUCGUCAAAUAUAGCAUUUAGCAUUUGUGAUGUUGCCAAAAAACUUCAAGAUUUUGAGGGAUGAUUAAAAUUUUUUUAUCAUAUACAAUUUAGGAAUUAUAGUAAAAUCAAUAUUAAAAUUUUGCAACCAAAUAUAGUUCCCGAAAAAUGCCAAUCUUCCAAGUUACAACAAUUUCAUAGAUUAUCAAGCUCGAGACCAAAAUGUUCUGCUUUGUUCUCAGCAAAAGUAAGACAAUAGUACUCAGUUUCUCAUAUCAAACAGCACUUAUAACUCUCUAAGCUUGUUCAUUGAAAUGUCUCAUUAUCAAAGAGGAUAUGAAAAGAUGAUGACAUGCAAGAUAUGGUACAUUGAUACCUGCAAUUGUGCCAUCUUGAUUACUCCAAUUCCCACAAGAUUUGUUCAUCAAUCUUGCUCAGCUUCUCAUCAUCAAGACACUUCCAGGUCCCAAUCCUCUCCACUCCCAUCCAUGACUUCUCACUCCUUCCAAGUUCUGCCAAUAUGACCCUUGCUCUCCGUGGCCAACCAGCCCUUCCAUAAGCGUGGUAUCCAAAGCCUCCACCAUAACAAAACCAUAUACCAUCUAAUUUCCCACAAAAUUCAUUGUUGUGAUCAUGGCCCCAAAACACAGCCUUCACAUCUCCCAUGGAUACAAAGGUCUGUAAGACUCCUGAGUUAACUGAUGAACAAGCCACAGCUUCAUGAAAAUGGCCUAUAACCUUUUGAUUGUAUAGCUGCCGAAUUUCUGGGAUUGGGAUAUGAAAAAAACCCAGUGCCGGAGGUGUAGGUGAAAGUGAAGCCUCUGACAAAUGAUAAAGAUCUUGCUUUUGACCCUGUUAGUUUGUGACCUGCAACAUGUUAAUGAAAUCUAAAUCUAGGAAACCUCCCUUGUGAGAUUUGGAAAUGCACAAGGUAGAAAGAAAGACUACAAGUGAAUAACUGAAUCCAGCAAUACUUCUUACUAUUGUUUCAAAGCAAGUGUAAGGAAUAACUUCCACACCACAAAAACAUGUCACAGUCCUAUGGAAUACUAUCAUAUUAUCUAAAACAUGAUUGGCCAUAUUUAAUCAAGCCAAUCCACAGAAUACAGGUGAACAUGAUAUGAUUUUGAACAAAAAUCAAUAUUUCAUUUUCAUUUAUACUAAUAACCUAAUAAAUUUGUAAUAAAAUCCUAAUUGAUUAUCUUAAUUCAAGUCUUCGGUAACAUAUUUGUUUCCCCUUUUUUGAUAUUUUGGCAGUAUAAGUAGUUGAUAUGUAUUACAUGAGAUAAAAUAAAUAAAUAAGUGUAAUCAAAGCAUUAAACAUAAAACCAGCGUUUAGUUUCAUCAGUAUUUUUCAGUUUGUUAUACCUGAUAUCCCUUAGAAACACCACGAAGCCAAUGAAGUUGAGACUCCUUAAUCCAACCAUAAGUUCGAAUUCCUUGAACAACCUCUCUGGCUCCACUGUCAAGAAAGAAAAGAUUGAGGACACUGUGGUUUGCCAAAAUGGAACCUGGAGCUCCAUAAACUCUGAGAUUAUAAUUCCCAAAGCCAUCAAUGCUUGUUAUCCUGCCUCCUUUGCCAGUAUCGGAGGGAUCUUCAGCGGAUGGAUUGGUUUGUGAUACUGAAUAAUCCAUUAAGGAUAUGAAAGACAUCAACUCUUCACGAUUCAUUGUAGAUUCAUGAUCAUGGUUUCCUAAGACUGCUGCCCAUGGAAGUCCAGAAUCCAUAGCUGGACCAAAAGCACGAAAUAAAGACUCAGCAGCAUCAGUCGUGCUAGUCCCAAAAAUAUUAUCCCCUGUAAAAGCAAUUAAAUCAGGUUUCUCUGAACGAAUCAACCUCUCAAGAAAACGAGUGGUGUUAAGAUCAGAGCAAAAGUCGAAUUCAGAAGGCAACACGUCUCUGCACCGAGUCGCUGCCCCUGUCCCGUAAUGCAUAUCUGCCACCUGAAGGAUUUUGAAGGUGCCAUCAUCGCGGAAGCGCAAAGGAAGAUCGGGCGAUCUCUUGAGGCGAGGUUUAUGGUGGCCGAUGACCAAUUUGACAGCGAUUUGGGAGUGUAGAGAGAAGAGAGUUAAAAGGAUUAUGGCGAGAUAGAGGAAGGAGAAUACCCAUUUGGCCGUUGCAGAUUCCAUUGAUAAAUUUUACCAUAGACAAUAAGCGGAGAACUGCAUCAGACUUUUAUCUGUUGAACUUUUACAGCUUUUCUGUUCGUUUCAAGAGGUAAUAAUUGCAGAGAAAGAAUUUCCAGGAACAGAAAGUGAUCUUUCUCUUUUCUCGCGUCGCUUAUUUCGAC